rnacentral:rRNA from 1 species
AGCGCAGGCGGGAAGACAAGUUGGAAGUGAAAUCCAUGGGCUCAACCCAUGAACUGCUUUCAAAACUGUUUUUCUUGAGUAGUGCAGAGGUAGGCGGAAUUCCCGGUGUAGCGGUGGAAUGCUAGAUAUCGGGAGGAACACCAGUGGCGAAGGCGGCCUACUGGGCACCAACUGACGCUGAGGCUCGAAAGUGUGGGUAGCAAACA